rnacentral:tRNA from 1 species
GGAGGGUAUAGCUCAGUGGUAGAGCACCUGCUUAGCAUGCAUGAGGUCCUGGGUUCAAUCCCCAGUACCUCCA